GUAACCGUUCUCAAUAUAAAACAAAGCAUCGUUCUCCGCAAAUAUAUUGACGUUCUUCUCGCAGAAGCGCUAAGUAACGUACAGGAUUAGACUGCGCUCAGAAAACAUAACAAAAGAGUCCAAAUGCUUGGCUACAUAUUCAUCGGUUAAUUUGGUCACAUAGCCCCGGAUGCCGGCAUUAGUUAUAAACAGAACUAUUCGCACGUGGUGGGUAUCCAGUGUAAAGAUGAUCUCGUCGGAGCUAUCGCAAUUGUAAUUUAGUCGUUGCCAAUGUCGAAAUGGAAAGUGUUCGUAUCGUUUGCAGGCAAAGCCAAAUAUACCCAAUCGAUCUGUUUGAAUCUUGAACGUAAAA
rnacentral:sRNA from 1 species